UUGUUACGUCGGAUGUGAAACNUGAGGCUCAACCUCAGGCCUGCAUUCGAUACGGGCAAACUAGAGUUGGGUAGGGGAGACUGGAAUUCCUGGUGUAGCGGUGGAAUGCGCAGAUAUCAGGAGGAACACCAAUGGCGAAGGCAGGUCUCUGGGCCAAUACUGACACUGAGGAGCGAAAGUCUGGGGAGCAAACAGGAUUAGAUACCCUGGUAGUCCAGACCGUAAACGGUGGGCACUAGUUGUGGGAACCUUCCACGGUUUCUGCGACGCAGCUAACGCAUUAAGUGCCCCGCCUGGGGAGUACGAUCGCAAGAUUAAAACUCAAAGGAAUUGACGGGGCCCCGCACAAGCAGCGGAGCAUGCGGCUUAAUUCGACGCAACGCGAAGAACCUUACCAAGGCUUGACAUAUAGGGAAAAGUGGCAGAGAUGUCAUGUCCGCAAGGGCUCUAUACAGGUGGUGCAUGGUUGUCGUCAGCUCGUGUCGUGAGACGUUGGGUUAAGUCCCGCAACGAGCGCAACCCUCGUUCUGUGUUGCCAGCAUUUAGUUGGGGACUCACAGGAGACUGCCGGGGUUAACUCGGAGGAAGGUGGGGAUGACGUCAAAUCAUCAUGCCCCUUAUGUCUUGGGCUGCACGCAUGCUACAAUGGCCGGUACAGAGGGCUGCAAUACCGCAAGGUGGAGCGAAUCCCAAAAAGCCGGUCUCAGUUCGGAUUGAGGUCUGCAACUCGACCUCAUAAAGUUGGAGUUGCUAGUAAUCGUAGAUCAGCAACGCUACGGUGAAUACGUUCCCGGGGCUUGUACACACCGCCCGUCACGUCACGAAAGUCGGUAACAUCCAAAGUCAGUGGCCCAACCGCAAGGGGGGAGCUGCCUAAGGUGGGAUCGGUGAUGGGACGAAGUCGAACAAGGUA
rnacentral:rRNA from 1 species